UGGGGAGUAGUGUAAAGGUAGCACUACAGAUUCUGGCUCUGUCAGUGAGGGUUCGAAUCCUUCCUCCCCAGCCA
rnacentral:tRNA from 1 species